CCGAAUGACCCUUCCGUAUAGACACAUUUACGUCAAAAUUCUUGAAAGUGUAAUUUAUGUAGUCAAGGUGAAUCUGUCCAUUUUGCUUAUGUUGCUAGCUUGUGAGUAGAAAGCAAACAAACAAACCAAAGACAUAAGCAGCAUAGGAAAUGAGACAGUGUGCUAAAAAGUACUGCUGGGAAAUAAUGAUUGGAAGACAUAUUGAUCAUAUCUUGACAGAAGACAGUAGUACACACCUUGCAUCUGAGCUUCUAAAAGGUCUGAUACUGAUCACUGUUUGACUAUUACAAAGGUUAUGGAGAGACACGAGGGAGAACCUCGCGACUGGCUCCUCCACCACUGCUGGCAAGCUGCAACUGUGAUUAGAUUUUAUAUUUGCGUCAGUGGCAUGGCGUCAUUGAAGACACUUCACUGGGCUCUGUUGCUAGAAAUUUCGUACGAAAAAUAUGGUUUUAUAGUAAACAAAAUGAUAUGUGGUCUUCAACCGAUUAAUCGAUUACAAAAUGUUUAUGAGAUUUAAUCAAGUUUAUUCGUAGCGUCUUCCUUAAACUACAGAAAUUAAAACUUCCUCAUUGUUUUUCACCAUGUUGUCGUACAACAAUAACAAUGUGAUUUACCAACUGCAAUACCAAUCGACAGCUGCAGCAUUCUGCCCUGGGGCUGAGUUCCUGCGCAUGUAUAAAGUCGAUAAUUC